rnacentral:rRNA from 1 species
GACGAACGCUGGCGGCGUGCCUAAUACAUGCAAGUAGAACGCAGUUGCGAACGGGUGAGUAACGCGUAGGUAACUGCCUCAUAGCGGGGGAUAACUAUUGGAACCGAUAGCUAAUACCGCAUACUGUGAGAUGGACCUGCGUUGUAUUAGGUAGUUGGUGAGGUAAAGGCUCACCAAGGGGACGAUACAUAGCCGACCUGAGAGGGUGAGCGGCCACAACGGGAAUGAGGCAACGCCCAAGCUUCUACUGGAGGCAGGCGUAGGGGAUCUUCGGAAAUGGACGGAAGUCUGGACGCGCCAAGGCGCGUGAGUGAAGGAGGGUUUCGGAUCGUAAAGGGCUUUUGUUAGAGAAGCGGUAACUAACCAGAAAGGGACGGCUAACUACGUGCCAGCAGCCGCGGUAAUUC